UCUCAGUUCGGACUGUGGUCUGCAACCCGACCACACGAAGCUGGAAUCGCUAGUAAUCGCGAAUCAGAAUGUCGCGGUGAAUACGUUCCCGGGUCUUGUACACACCGCCCGUCACACCAUGGGAGUCAGCAACGCCCGAAGUCAGUGACCUAACCGAAAGGGAGGAGCUGCCGAAGGCGGGGCCGGUAACUGGGGUGAAGUCGUAACAAGGUAGC
rnacentral:rRNA from 1 species